CAGGUUUCUGUCAAAUAAAUAGAUCAUCCUUCGUACCCCAGAAAGCUGUCAGGCUCAAUACUUUGCAACCAUCUGUGCAUCCUUCUUGCCUUUUCUUCAUCCUCCUGCAUGAGCAGGGCUGAUGACCAUAUCUUACUUCCAAUUGGAACUGACUACUGUGUAUGAAAUGAGCUUUAAUCUAACACUGCCCUGGAUUGGGAGCAGUACCUUCAAGUUUAAACUUAAUGGUCUAUUUUGACCUGAACUUCUUACUUUAAAAAAAA